rnacentral:rRNA from 1 species
UACGUAGGGGGAUAGCGCUGUUCGUGAAUUACUGGGCGUAAAGGGCGUGUAGGCGGUACCAUAAGUCAGAUGUGAAGGCCCUAGGCUUAACCUAGGAGGUGCAUUUGAUACUGUGGAACUAGAGAUCGAGAGAGGUAAGUGGAAUUACGAGUGUAGAGGUGAAAUUCGUAGAUAUUCGUAAGAACACCAGUGGCGAAGGCGACUUACUGGCUCGAUACUGACGCUAAGGCGCGAAAGCGUGGGGAGCAAACAGG